AGCGAACGUUAGCGGCGGGCCUAACACAUGCAAGUCGAACGCGAAAGGUCUUCGGACUGAGUAGAGUGGCGCACGGGUGAGUAACACGUAGGUAAUCUACCCUUUGGCGGGGGAUAACGUUCCGAAAGGAGCGCUAAUACCGCAUAAGACCACGGAGUCUCCGGACGCUGUGGGAAAAGGUGGCCUCUUCUUGAAAGCUACCACCGAAGGAUGAGCCUGCGUCCCAUCAGCUAGUUGGUAAGGUAAUGGCUUACCAAGGCGAAGACGGGUAGCUGGUUUGAGAGAAUGAUCAGCCACACUGGGACUGAGACACGGCCCAGACUCCUACGGGAGGCAGCAGUGGGGAAUUUUGGACAAUGGGCGCAAGCCUGAUCCAGCCAUGCCGCGUGCGGGAAGAAGGCC
rnacentral:rRNA from 1 species